GGGCGCGGGGCGGGCGCGGGGUCCCGGGAGAGGGCGCUGGGCGCUUCGGGCCCAGAUCAUCUUUCUUGCUGACAAGUAUCAUCUAGGAAUCACUCUACCUCGCUGGCAAUUUUGAGAAAAUAGCCAGUUAUUUUUGUGCUGAACUUUCAUCUGGUUAAGGGUCAUUCCUUCAGUAGUCAAGACCUCGUGAAAUAAAAGUGCAGAAAACAAACCCAGGCGAUCACAGCAGCAGCCGCCGCGGCAGCAGCACCAACAGCAGGAGGAGCAGGAGGAGCCGGAGGAGGAGGAGGAGGAGGAGGCAAAGUUAGAGUUGGGGCUGGCGCUCCGGAGUUGCUGGGCUCAGCGCAGCUCCCAUUCAUUAAGGAACCAGCUGCGGAGGAAGGUGGCCGAGCGCCCGCGCUGCCCACUCGCUCGCUCGCGCACUCAGACGCGCGCCACAACAGCGCGCCCCAAGCUGCGCAGCUCUGCAAAAGUUUCUGCUCGGGAUCUGGCUCUCUUCCCCUUGGACUUUAGAACGAUUUAGGGUUGACAGAGGAAAGCAGAGGCGCGCAGGAGGAGCAGAAAACACCACCUUCUGCAGUUGGAGGCAGGCAGCCC
rnacentral:lncRNA from 1 species